GUAAUCCUCCUGCUUCAGCCUCCUGAGUAGCUGGGACUACAGAAUAGUAGAGAUGUCCAGUUGGAAAGGCUGUUACACAUCACCAAGUUCAAUCACCUUACUAUCACAGAAAAGCUUCCUUUUGUGAACAAGAGGGUUUUGGAACAUCACCAAAUGAUUUUUCAUACCCAGAUUAAAAGCUUUAAUCUUGAAGACUGUUCCUAACUAGUAUUCAGCCUGAAAUAAUGAAUGCAAUUAGAAUCUUAAAGAACAGAAAUAACCUGGCACUGACACUGCAAUGUGGAGGCAGAGUAAAAAAAAGGCUACAUGCUCUUUAACGAUGACAGAUGUUCUUUUCUAUGGACCUUUGAGGAGGUGAUAGAUGGAGCUCUAGCAAGUCAUCUGUGACCACGAGUCAAUGCUGAAGAUGGAAAACAGAUAUAAACAGAGAAAGAUGACAAAAGGAGUCUAAGUCCCUAAUGAUCAUGGAUCUCCCAUAUUACUCCUGGUCUACCUCCUUCUCAGGUAAUCAAAUCCGGUGGCCUCUCAAAACAGCAUCCUUUUCCAACCCAUUUUGGAUUUAAAUUAUUCAACAAGCAUCUAGCAAAUAUCUACUAUAUGUGAAGCAUUGGAGUGGGUGCUAUAGUAAUCGAACACCAGCAUCUGCCCUUCGGGAGUUCACAAUCUAGUAUGAAAAAGGGAAAUGCCUAUUAAUCUAAAUUAAUAAAAGACAGCGUAUGCAAAGGGCCAAAAUGAGACUAAACUGAAGUGCCACAAACCACAGGAGAAGGAUGUGUGAAGGAUCUCGGAGAGGUGGGCUUUGGAGAAGGACUGCAAUAGGCAUGUAUAGAAAUGGAAACACAUUCCAGCAAA